rnacentral:rRNA from 1 species
AGUGGGUGUAGCGUACCUACUAGCCUACGACGGGUACGGGUUGUGAGAGCAAGAGCCCGGAGAUGGAUUCUGAGACACGAAUCCAGGCCCUACGGGGUGCAGCAGGCGCGAAAACUUUACAAUGCUGGCAACAGCGAUAAGGGAACCUCGAGUGCCAGGUUACAAAUCUGGCUGUCGAGAUGCCUAAAAAGCAUUUCAUAGCAAGGGCCGGGCAAGACCGGUGCCAGCCGCCGCGGUAACACCGGCGGCUCGAGUGGUAACCGUUAUUAUUGGGUCUAAAGGGUCUGUAGCCGGCCGGAUAAGUCUCUUGAGAAAUCUGGCAGCUUAACUGUCAGGCUUUCAGGAGAUACUGUCUGGCUCGAGGCCGGGAGAGGUGAGAGGUACUUCAGGGGUAGGGGUGAAAUCUUGUAAUCCUUGAAGGACCACCAGUGGCGAAGGCGUCUCACCGGAACGGACCUGACGGUGAGGGACGAAAGCCAGGGGCGCGAACCGGAUUAGAU